UGCCCUGAAAGAGUCACAGCUCAGAGAGGC
rnacentral:piRNA from 1 species